UUAAACAAUACCAGAAUCUAUUUGAAUUAACAAUAUCAGCAAGCAUACACACUAUAUCAACAAGCAUACACACUGAAAGUUAUCAAACAACUUGAUUUCCAAACAAAAAUCAACAAUCUUGAUAUGCAAACAGUGUCAGUAUGUCUUGUCCAUGACACUACAAAAUCCCAUAGUAACAGAAUAAUCUUAAGGUUUCAAAUACCCAUAAAGGAAAGAUUUGUAAACACACAAAUCAAAUUUCAGACUGAAUUUUUUGUUGUAUCCUUUGAUUCUUCUCAUUCCAAAAAAAAAAUCUCACAUCUUCUACGCUUCCUGGCACAUGAAAUCCGCUUUUUUUGACAUAUAUGUAGAACAUCUACACGAGAAGCAAGCCACAAGUUAGAGUAUAAUAACAAGCAUGUCGAAAACACAGAUUUUUUCUAAGUUGGCCAUUUGGUUUGGCUAGAGCAUUCCCUGUUAAAUUUGCAUGGAGCAACUGACAAUAGUACAAGUAUCCUGCUGUAGUGCAACUACAGUUUUAAAAACUGAAGGUGAGUUUUAUAGCACAACCAUCAUUCUAAUUAAAAAAUAGCAUUUCAAAAACAAUAGUGCAGAUUUUUGGGUACAGUACAGUGUAGAUUUAUGAGUACAAUGCAUAUUUUAAAAACAAUAGUGCAGAUUUCUGGGUACAGUACAGUGUAGAUUUCUGAGUACAAUGCAUAUUUCAAAAACAAUAGUGCAGACUUUUAGUGGAACAUAUAUGUGGACUUCGUAACGAACACAUGCAGAUUCUAGCAUUUGUUUCUAAAGUACAUCAAGUGGUAUGUGUUCUAAGUUAUUAAUCCUAACAAGAAGAGGCAAGGGAAGGAGUAACCUCAUACCUUACAGGGAGAACAAAAUUAGAUCAGGAAUAGGAAAAUGCAAGAGGGGUUUUCCCAUGCGGAACCUUCUACGGAAGUAGUAAUCAGGAUAGGUAGGAUUAUCACAGAAGUAAUCUGCUAUGAGAAGUUCAUUGUAAAAUUCUCUCUUCCUGUCAAUAUAUGUCCUAGGGGCUGACUGACGCCUAGUACUUGGACCUUCUAGUGUAUGAUGAAUGUUUGUGGCUAUUUGUGUAGCAAAGUUGUUGAGAGUAUUCUGUUGUGCCAAGUAAUCUUCUAGAGAGAAAAUUUCUGUUGGGUCAAUGGUAUCAUCUUCGAACUCAUCGGAACUCAAUUGUGACAUAUUGCAAGUUGAGCUACAAUUUAAAAAUCAAGUAAUAAGAAUUAUGCACACAACACACAUGAAACUAUAAUUUGGAUGGGAAGAAUAAUAUUCAUGUGCAAAUAGCAUACUCGGAACUACCAAAGAACAAUAAAAAGAUAGCAAAGUGUCCAAGUGUUCUAAGCUCUUAAUCCUACCAGCUAUUUCUCAAAAAAAGAAAAAAAAUAACACGGAUAUGGCACCUUCAGCAGACUAGCACUACUCUUUCUUUAUCAGUAUAUGCAGCUAGCACAAGGGACCAAAUUGACCAACGUACAUAGAUGUUAUAACAGUCAGAACUCUGUUCAACUUAACUCUAUACCAAAACAUCUUGAUGGCAGUCACAUUUCCUGAAUAAGGCUAGUAAGUCUAGCAAAAGAAUUCAACAUCUGCACCUAGUACAACAACUAAUAGUACCAGCAUCCCUGUGAUUAUGCUAGUCUAAUAAUAUACCAACUACUAGUACAUCUAGCAAAAGAAUUCAGCAUCUGCACCUAGCCAUUAGCAAAUAAAAACAAAGAUGGGGAUUUCAGGAUUUGACAUGUUUCUCUCAGGGCUAGCAAAUCAGCAUCUGCACCUAGCCAUCUGCAUCUGCACCUAGCUAAUUAGCAUAAUUUUCUCUUCACAAUUGCAAAGAGCAGAGUACCAAGGCUGAUCUGACAUGUUUCUCUCAGGGCUAAGAAGAAAAAAGAUGGGGAUUUCAGGAUUUCCACAAGCAUGGUUGCCUGACUCAAAUAGAUUGAACCAAAAUCACACACAGGGGAAUCAAUCUUCUUGGAACGGAUCUGUUCUUGGAACCCUAGCCUAGUUUACUGAGCAAAAUAAAUCUGGCCAUGACCACAAGAAGAAGCAGGGGAAGAACUAGACUCGUACCUUGCAGCAAGAGCUGCAGUCGGAUGUCGACGGCAGGUUGAGGACGAGGUGCGCCGCCUUCUCCGCUGGUUCGCGUGCCGCGCCUCCGCUCCCUGGUUCGCGCGCCGCGCCUCCGCUCCCUGGUUCGCGCGCCGCGACUCCGCUCCCUGGUUCGCGCCCUUCUCUUCUCCCCUUCCCGCCCUUCCCUUCUCUCUUUCGCGCCCUUCCCCUCUCGCUCGCGGGAUUUUGUUGGGCGAGUGUGGUCCCG
rnacentral:lncRNA from 1 species